rnacentral:rRNA from 1 species
AGUAGUUGACUCGUGCUAGAGAUGACGCUGGCGGCGUGCUUAACACAUGCAAGUCGAGCGAAGCACUUUCUCGGAAGUUUUCGGAUGGAAGAGGGAUUGACUGAGCGGCGGACGGGUGAGUAACGCGUGGGGAACCUGCCUCAUACAGGGGAAUAACAGUUAGAAAUGACUGCUAAUGCCGCAUAAGCGCACACUGUGGCAUCACAGGGUGUGAAAAACUCCGGUGGUAUGAGAUGGCCCCGCGUCUGAUUAGGCAGUUGGCGGGGUAACGGCCCACCAAACCGACGAUCAGUAGCCGACCUGAGAGGGUGACCGGCCACAUUGGGACUGAGACACGGCCCAAACUCCUACGGGAGGCAGCAGUGGGGAAUAUUGCACAAUGGGGGAAACCCUGAUGCAGCGACGCCGCGUGGGUGACGAAGUAUUUCGGUAUGUAAAGCCCUAUCAGCAGGGAAGGAGAUGACAGUACCUGACCAAGAAGCCCCGGCUAACUACGUG